rnacentral:rRNA from 1 species
AUAUAACUAGGCGGAGGAAAAGAAACUAACCAGGAUUCCCUCAGUAACGGCGAGUGAAGCGGGAAAAGCUCAGACUGAAAAUCUUCGGAGUUGUAGUCUGGAGAGGCCAGAUCAGCUUUAAGUUUCGGACAAAGUCUCUUGGAACAGAGCGCCAUGGAGGGUGAUAGCCCCGUUCAUGUCUGAAAUGAAAGGUGUACGAUCGGUCUUCUAAGAGUCGAGUUGUUUGGGAUUGCAGCUCUAAGUGGGUGGUAAAUUCCAUCUAAAGCUAAAUAUAAAUGGGAGACCGAUAGCGCACAAGUA